rnacentral:rRNA from 1 species
CCCUAUGGGGUGCAGGCUGAAGGUUGAAAGUUACAGGUUGGCUCGCUGGUGGCAGAAACCUGCAACCAGCAAUCCGCGACCUGCAGCCAAGUCGUCAUGUCCUGCUGAAAACUCUCCUGCGUUUUGAGUUUAUCAGUGACGACGACGAUGGAGCGCCGGGGGAAGAGACGCCGCAGCAUAACUGCCAGGAACGGUUGGGCGGCCACGCUCACGCCGGCACAAGCCAACGCGCCGCCCGCCGCCACUCGCCGGGCAAGGGAUUGCACGGCGGGGGUCUGGGCGACCCGCGCGAACAGGCUGCCUGUCGCGGGGACUUCGUUUUCCUGCGCCAAGCAGUGGAUAGUCCGCAAUCUGCGCGCCGGCCGUCAAGCGGGCGCUCCACUCCGAGAGAUUGGCGGGGGGGC